ACUAUUUUGGCAGAAAAGUGCAUUGAAUUUAGAAUUCAAAUAUGUAGAUUAAAUUACAAAUAGUA
rnacentral:tRNA from 2 species